rnacentral:rRNA from 1 species
AACUUUCAACAACGGAUCUCUUGGUUCUGGCAUCGAUGAAGAACGCAGCGAAAUGCGAUAAGUAAUGUGAAUUGCAGAAUUCAGUGAAUCAUCGAAUCUUUGAACGGCACAUUGCGCCCCGUGGUAUU